ACAUUUACAGGAAGUAUGGUAAUACAUUCUUGUCAGCUGUCUGGGCAAAUCUUCUCUCGCAGAAUUGGAUUAAAAUUUAAUGUAUUUUAUUUCUCACUUCCAACGAUGUCGCAAUUAUUAGGCAGCUAUCAAGUCUCAAGAUAUGACAUAAUUUGAUAGAAUGUUAGUACCAACGCUAUCAGUGCAUUGAAGUCGAGUUCUCGAUACAGGGAGCUGCUGGUAAACUACCGUCGCUAUACAUCGACUAUGACUACAAUCUUACUUUUAAAAACAAACUACAUACAUAUCUCACAUUUGCGAGGACUACUUCAUCACAAGCAAAAAAUCGACAUUGGUAAAUAAAGGUCUGUCUUCUAUAACCACGAUGAAAAGAAAAGCUGGGCGAAAACAUUUGAGACUGCAGAUUGCAGAACUGGAACACUCUAUUUGAAGACAGUGGCUGCUGAGUGCUGAGCUGCAUCAAAUCUAUCAGCAUCAUGUAACUUCGAUCAGGAACAGACUCCAUUUCAUUUCCGACAACUAGCACCUGUUUUCCCUAGACUUACCAAGUAUUAAGUAACUGCAUUAGUAUUAGGUUAAAUUAAAGGCCCUACAUCGAACAAGUCUAACAAUUAAAACUUAAAUGCAAGAGUGCACAAUUUAUCACUAAAUAUCUUCCUCUUUUAAUUCUAAUCAACACACGGUUUCGUCUUUGUUUCACCCAAUCGUGCUGAUAAUCAGUAAUCAUGCACUCUGCACUCUAACUUCGAGAUGUUUCAAAAGGGCUCCCGACGAGUUGAAUUAGAUCAAUAUUUUCUUUUGAUACAUAGAUACUGAUUGGGAGGUUCAUCAUACUAUUCUUGUCACAUGGUAACGAUUAACGAUUAGCUGAUCAGCUUCCAGCAUCGACAGGCCGAAAUCCAUAAAUAUAAUCAGUUGUAAUUUAAUAUUUAUCAUCGUCCGGAUCAUCAUAAUAUUUUAAUUUAAAGUUACAAUUGAACGGUGUUAAGAAAGAUAAUUUAAGAGAAAUGUUUUGAAAGUGCCUGAUUUCGAGUAUAAGAUCUGUACUGAUACAUUAAUUUUCAGAUUGUUAUUAUAGUUUAUUUGUAUUUUUUAUAUUAUCUUAUCCGCACAAGUUCGGAAGCCAUCUGAACGCUAUUGCCAGACACAGGCAUAUAUUUAUUUUGGGGUAUCAUGCUCUCAGAAAUUUCAACUCAGUCCGAUAUUAUAGUUAUACUAACCUGCAUUGCAUAAGGUUAAUUGUCUCGCAGUCUAGUGCAUAAACCUUUUAUUUUGUAUAAACCCUUUAUUUUGAUUGGGAAAACUUUAGUGGUUACCGUCUCUAAAGUUGGCAUGAUAGUUAAUAAACUCUUAUCUAUUAUGUCACUGAAGAUGACGCCUUGCAACAUGUUUGACGAUAGCCUGUAGAUUGAUAGUUUGAUCUAAGUAUUUACAACAAUUCAUCUAGUUUGAUUGAUUCAAAGGGAAACAAAUUCCUCUCUUAUCUAUUAUGACUAUAUUUAAAUUCAAUCCUGUAAAGUGAUACUCCUUUUUUAGUAAUUUAAA